CUUCAGAGAGUGGACGCUUCCCCUGUGUCUUAGCUGGGAGCUGCGUCUCGGCCAGUCACUUCACUGGAGGACUCAAAUGCUUCAGCAGUCCUCGAGCUGGUCAUCGAUUACAAGGUCUGCUGGACUCAAAGCCUUCUAGAAGCCGCGAGGUGAGGCACCGUGGUUCCCAAGUAGUGGUGCUGGUGCCACCAGCCGUGGAGGGUUUUAUCACAAUAUCCGCCCGGAAAAGUGAUUUAUCAUCUCUGAAGAGCUGAGCUGGCAUGGGUCACUUACAUUUUGUCUGAGAACUAAUUAGUUUUAUUUAUUGCCAUUACAAUG
rnacentral:lncRNA from 1 species